UCCGUAGGCGGUGCGGCAAGUCGGAAGUGAAAUCUCUGGGCUUAACCCAGAGGCUGCUUCCGAAACUGCCGUGCUAGAGUGCGAGAGAGGCGAGUGGAAUUGCGGGUGCAGCGGUGAAAUGCGUAGAUAUCCGCAGGAACAUCCGAGGCGAAGGCGGCUCGCUGGAUCGCAACUGACGCUGAGGGACGAAAGCUAGGGGAGCAAACAGGAUUAGAUACCCUGGUAGUCCUAGCCCUAAACCAUCAGGACUUGGGGUUUGCCCUGUACGGGGCAAGUCCCGUAGCUAACGCGUUAAGUCCUGCGCCUGGGGAGUACGGUCGCAAGGCUGAA
rnacentral:rRNA from 1 species